rnacentral:sRNA from 1 species
GAAGCCCCGCCCCGGUCACCGCCCCGAGGCUGUCCCGGACGGUUAGGUCCAGAGGAGCCUUUCCUUCACUGGCCCGCCUACUAUGACGAUCAUCUACAGCUGCAUUGCUAAUGGCCCAGCGGUCCUAGCGGAGCUGACACGGACUGGAGGUUCUUCCCAGAGUAAAGAAUAUCAGGGAUUCAGCAGUGAACAUGAGCCUGGCGUUGCCCCUUUAAAUCCAAGGGCUAUAGACAAUUGUCCCAGAGUAUAAAAAGUAUUUCAACGGAGCUAUGUUUACCAUACUGUCUUUAUUGAUGGAAUCACUUAUGUAUGUGCUACAGACAAUGCUUUGGAUUCUGUGACACCAUCUGCAUUUCUUAAAAACGUUUCUGCUAGACUUUGCUUCAAAUGAAUGUUUGUUCUAUAAUUCUCCAGUUAAAAUGAUCUAUAUAGGUUGAAUAGUUCCAUUAAUUUCUCCAGGUUAGUGAUACUUUUACAAGAAAUCCUUUGAUGUCACAAGAACAUAUUUUCCUUCAAAUGCAUUUGCUGCAGAUUUUCAACAAGUGUUAGGAAAGUAUAUGGUAUGUAACCUCAAA